GGUUAAGCGACUAAGCGUACACGGUGGAUGCCCUGGCAGUCAGAGGCGAUGAAGGACGUGCUAAUCUGCGAUAAGCGUCGGUAAGGUGAUAUGAACCGUUAUAACCGGCGAUUUCCGAAUGGGGAAACCCAGUGUGAUUCGUCACACUAUCAUUAACUGAAUCCAUAGGUUAAUGAGGCGAACCGGGGGAACUGAAACAUCUAAGUACCCCGAGGAAAAGAAAUCAACCGAGAUUCCCCCAGUAGCGGCGAGCGAACGGGGAGCAGCCCAGAGCCUGAAUCAGUGUGUGUGUUAGUGGAAGCGUCUGGAAAGGCGCGCGAUACAGGGUGACAGCCCCGUACACAAAAAUGCACAUACUGUGAGCUCGAUGAGUAGGGCGGGACACGUGGUAUCCUGUCUGAAUAUGGGGGGACCAUCCUCCAAGGCUAAAUACUCCUGACUGACCGAUAGUGAACCAGUACCGUGAGGGAAAGGCGAAAAGAACCCCGGCGAGGGGAGUGAAAAAGAACCUGAAACCGUGUACGUACAAGCAGUGGGAGCACGCUUAGGCGUGUGACUGCGUACCUUUUGUAUAAUGGGUCAGCGACUUAUAUUCUGUAGCAAGGUUAACCGAAUAGGGGAGCCGAAGGGAAACCGAGUCUUAACUGGGCGUUAAGUUGCAGGGUAUAGACCCGAAACCCGGUGAUCUAGCCAUGGGCAGGUUGAAGGUUGGGUAACACUAACUGGAGGACCGAACCGACUAAUGUUGAAAAAUUAGCGGAUGACUUGUGGCUGGGGGUGAAAGGCCAAUCAAACCGGGAGAUAGCUGGUUCUCCCCGAAAGCUAUUUAGGUAGCGCCUCGUGAAUUCAUCUCCGGGGGUAGAGCACUGUUUCGGCAAGGGGGUCAUCCCGACUUACCAACCCGAUGCAAACUGCGAAUACCGGAGAAUGUUAUCACGGGAGACACACGGCGGGUGCUAACGUCCGUCGUGAAGAGGGAAACAACCCAGACCGCCAGCUAAGGUCCCAAAGUCAUGGUUAAGUGGGAAACGAUGUGGGAAGGCCCAGACAGCCAGGAUGUUGGCUUAGAAGCAGCCAUCAUUUAAAGAAAGCGUAAUAGCUCACUGGUCGAGUCGGCCUGCGCGGAAGAUGUAACGGGGCUAAACCAUGCACCGAAGCUGCGGCAGCGACGCU
rnacentral:rRNA from 1 species